rnacentral:tRNA from 1 species
GGGGAUUUAGCUCAGCGGUAGAGUGCUUGCCUAGGAAGCGUAAGGCCCUGGGUUCGGUCCCCAGCUCCG